UUCUUAAGUUUAUCUGCAAUCUUCUCUGAGGUGGCUUUUUUUGUUAGUUGGAGUUUGGGUUUUUGCCAAUUUCUAACCUGCCGUCACUUUCCUCAAAAAACAUAAGCAAGACAGAGGAAAAGAAAAUUUUUCCGUGGAAAAACAGAAAGAAAAAAUAAGCAUUUUGUUGGAACAAGUGGUGUCCUUUAGUGAUUUGAUUUUGAACUUUUGUUGUUCUUGGGGGGCCUUGUUUUAUGACGAUGAUCGUAGCUAUGUGCCGCACCUUUCGCGAUCGAGCUCUCGACCGAUGCUUCCACUGCUUCCCUUGUCUCUCCGAUCCUGCCUGGAGAUCAUCGUUGGGUUUGAAAGUGGCGUUAGUGAUGCUGCAUCUGAUAUACGCUGGCAUUCUCUUCCUGUUCGAUAGUGAUUUGAUUGAGAAAACGAAAAAAGAACCAUGGUACACUGCUUUAUAUUUGUUGUUGUUUUUUGCCACAUUGGUCCAAUACUUUAUUACUUCUGGUUCUUCUCCCGGUUAUGUCCUUGAUGCAAUGAGGGCUGUUAAUGAGACAAAUGUGAUGUAUAAGAAAUCAUCAACGGCCUCAAAACAGCCUGCUUCAAGCAAAAAUGGAAGCUUGAUUGUCACCAUAGAAGGGAGUCAAACAGGUAGAAAUUUUCAAGGAAGUAAUCCCGCAUCUUGGACAAAGUUGGUGAUGGACAUGUAUCCACCUGGAACGUCCAUUAGGGCUUUCAGUUGCUUCUAUUGUAAUGUUGAGCAGCCUCCACGAGCAAAGCAUUGUCAUGAUUGUGAUAAAUGUGUUCUUCAGUUUGAUCAUCAUUGUGUAUGGCUUGGAACAUGCAUUGGCCAGGGCAAUCAUUGCAAAUUUUGGUGGUACAUUUGUGAAGAGACAGCAUUGUGCCUCUGGACUGGCAUCUUGUACAUUACAUACCUGAAGGCCAACAUAUCAAGGGCUUGGUGGAAGGAUGCUAUCAUGAUUCUGCUAUUGAUUGCCAUGGCAAUUUCCAUAAUAUUUCUACUUCUUCUUCUACUUUUUCACAGCUAUCUUGUUCUAACAAAUCAGACUACAUAUGAACUUGUUAGACGCAGGCGUAUCCCAUAUCUAAGGGGGAUUCCUGAGCGAGUUUAUCCUUUUAGUCAAGGAGUUUGCAGCAAUUUAUACGACUUCUGUUGUGUAUGCAGCAUAUACCAUUUGGAAUCUUUGCCCUCAGCCCAAGAACUUGAAGAAAAGUCAAGGCCCUACACUUGCUUAGAUGUUUUAACCUGUCGUUGCUGCUGAUGUUGUAGGGCAAUGUAUCAUUUACGAAAAUACGAUUUUUUACCUAAAAAAUUUUAAUGUGAGAUUGUGUAGAGGCACUGAUGUGCAGCCAAAUUGUUGGAGUUACUAGAUAUGGUUCGCUGAAGGUCAAGAUGCUGCGUAAUCGAAGAGAAGAUGCCCUAUCUAUCUUAAAGCUUCAAGCAUCAUAUAACUGCCAUUCGGAUCUGAGCAUCUCAAGGCAUUCUUUGAAAUUUUCAAAGCCCGUUGUUUAGAUGUAGAAAUUAAGCUCGGACGGUUAGGUACAUUUCUGUCACACAGCAUGUGCUCUCUCUGAGGGAGAAGUUCGUCAGAAAGUGAAAACCCUUUUUUCUGCUUGCUCAUCUAUAUAUAAAUCUUUUUUAGGCUUAUGUUCAUUCUUGAGGAUUAAUCAAAUAAGCUCCGUUUAAAAUCAGUUUCAAUCAUAACAGGAAUCCCAGCUGCAACUCCCAUAUCCAAGGUCCCGAGGCCCCAGUUGAGCCACCACAUUCCACCAUACUCUCGUGGCUUAUUAAUCUUAGCCCACAUGCAGGAUGGAUGUGCCAAUGUGACGGGCAGUGCUAGUUACGCCUCCAGCCAGACCCGAUACACUUCCAGAGAAUGGAACGACGGCCGCCAUGAAGAAAGAGAAAAUUUCGAAUGUUGUCCGGAACACUGCUCGGAGCCAACGGUGGCAAGGCUUUUUCUUUGUGCUGUUUAGAAGCAGAAGCUCCAUGUCAUCAAAAGUUGGCAUUACAUAGAUUCGAAAUGAGAACGAGUUUAUUAUUAUUUUCUAAUCCCUUCGUACGAGUAUAGAAUAAACUUCAAAACUCCAAAUACCAGACAUCAAAUGUUUUUGUUACUUUUGGACAUACUGUUAAGAUACCAACGUGGAAUAAUCUUUGUUCUUACGAAGCUUUUCUAAUUACUUAACUGAAUCUCUAAAGAUAAGAUUGUGACCUCUAAAAGCAGAAGCAACGAUCCCAAGCGCAUUAAAUACGCCACUGAUCCUUUCAAUCUCUGUGUUUAAAAUUGUCAGAAAAAAAACUAAUAAUGCACAAAACUAC